CCUACGGGCGGCUGCAGUGGGGAAUAUUGGACAAUGGGCGAAAGCCUGAUCCAGCCAUGCCGCGUGUGUGAAGAAGGCCUUCGGGUUGUAAAGCACUUUCAGUGGGGAAGAAAGCCUUGGGGCUAAUACCCUCGAGGAAGGACAUCACCCACAGAAGAAGCACCGGCUAACUCCGUGCCAGCAGCCGCGGUAAUACGGAGGGUGCGAGCGUUAAUCGGAAUUACUGGGCGUAAAGCGCGCGUAGGCGGUCUGAUAAGCCGGUUGUGAAAGCCCCGGGCUCAACCUGGGAACGGCAUCCGGAACUGUCAGGCUAGAGGGCAGGAGAGGAAGGUAGAAUUCCCGGUGUAGCGGUGAAAUGCGUAGAGAUCGGGAGGAAUACCAGUGGCGAAGGCGGCCUUCUGGACUGACACUGACGCUGAGGUGCGAAAGCGUGGGUAGCAAACAGGAUUAGAUACCCCGGUAGUC
rnacentral:rRNA from 1 species